rnacentral:rRNA from 1 species
UACAGAGGGGCAAGCGUUAUUCGAAUUGAUUGGUGCGUAAAGGGCGCGUAGGCGGCUUGGCAAGUGGAAGGUGAAAUCCCUCGGCUUAACCGAGGAACUGCCCUCCAAACUGCUUCGCUUGAGACCGGGAGAGGUGAGUGGAAUUCCCAGUGUAGCGGUGAAAUGCGUAGAUAUUGGGAGGAACACCAGUGGCGAAGGCGGCUCACUGGACCGGUACUGACGCUGAUGCGCGAAAGCG